CACGUAGGGUGCGAGCGUUGUCCGGAAUUAUUGGGCGUAAAGAGCUCGUAGGCGGUGUGUCGCGUCGGCCGUGAAAACCUGCAGCUUAACUGUGGGCUUGCGGUCGAUACGGGCAUUACUGGAGUUCGGCAGGGGAGACUGGAAUUCCUGGUGUAGCGGUGAAAUGCGCAGAUAUCAGGAGGAACACCAACGGCGAAGGCAGCACUCUGGGCCGGUACUGACGCUGAGGAGCGAAAGCGUGGGGAGCAAACAGG
rnacentral:rRNA from 1 species